rnacentral:lncRNA from 1 species
AGACCCUCAAAUCAAAUACAUGAGAAGACUUCUGAAAGAUUUCUGGAAGACUUUGCUUUAGGCGGAAAACCUAAAUUCUACUAAAUUUUAGGCGGGAAUAUGUCAGAAGACUUCCCAAGAAGUCUUCUAGAAGUUUUUCAAACCAUAACCUAAUAAACUAACUAACUAGAUAGAAAAAAAACAAUUCAUUAAACUUAAAAUCAACUUAUAAAUCGUUUAAUAUACACAAAACUAAACACAUGUAGAUCAAUUUUUUUUAAAAAAAGUUAAGGUUCUAAAAUUAAACCCUAAAUACAAACAAUACUAUAACACAUGUAACUAAACCAUAAACCAAAGUUCUCUAGGAGUCUUCCAGGCCCUAUAAUCAAAAAAACUAAGCAAAAACCCUUC